rnacentral:rRNA from 1 species
AGCCUGGCGAGUCUUUGUAGUAAUACAAGGCAKACGGCUCAGUAACACGUAGUCAACCUACCCUAUGGACAAGAAUAAUCUCGGGAAACUGGGCAUAAUUCUUGAUAGAUCAUAAUGCCUGGAAUGGUUUAUGGUUAAAAUGAUUCGUCGCCAUAGGAUGGGACUGCGGCCUAUCAGCUUGUUGGUGAGGUAAUGGCCCACCAAGGCGAUUACAGGUACGGGCUCUGAGAGGAGAAGCCCGGAGAUGGGUACUGAGACACGGACCCAGGCCCUAUGGGGCGCAGCAGGCGAGAAAACUUUGCAAUGUGCGAAAGCACGACAAGGUUAAUCCGAGUGAUUUCUGCUAAAGAAAUCUUUUGCCAGUCAUAAAACCACUGGAAUCCCGCGGCCAUGGCGGCCGGGAGCAUGCGACGUCGG